rnacentral:lncRNA from 1 species
GACAUUUCUCCAAAAAGUACAAUCUUUGUCCCCAUGUGCAGUUGCUCUGGAUACAGAUACUUUUGUACCUGUUUCCUCCAGCAUCUUCACAAGGUCCUUUUCACACCAAAGUACGUUCAUCUCUAGGAGACAGAACGUGUCUCCUUCCUGAGUGGUAUGACGGCUGCGUGGUCCCAUGGUGUUUAUACUUGCGUACUAUUGUUUGUACAGAUGAACGUGGUACCUUCAGGUGUUUGGAAAUUGCUCCCAAGGAUGAACCAGACUUCUGGAGGUCUACAAUUUUUUUCUGAGGUCUUGCCCGAUUUAUUUUGAUUUUCCCAUGAUGUCAAGCAAAUAUCUCUGUGAUUAGGCCUAACUACAGGGAUGUCCACAAAGAGACCCAAGAGCACAGCCAGUGUGGACAGUAAGGGGAAGGCCAAAGGACUACCCUUAGGAUGAGCUCCUCCUGGUCUACGGCAGGGACUUAAUCUACGUAUCCAGCUUCUACCUGCUUCUAAAAGUGGAAGCAAAGGACAGGCACCUAAAGAUGGGUGUCUAGCAUUCUCCCUAUCCAAUGUUCACAGAAUGUUGGUUCUGUGAGGAGCUGAGGAUUCAACCUCCAGACCCUCUCGUUUGGUACGAUGUCACCCAAUCUCAGGGAGAAGGUUAAACCCUUGACAUUCCAGGAAGUGAAUGUAAGCCCCGCCCUCCUCUCAUUUGUAGUUCCUAUGGUGGCCUGCAUAACAUGGGACAGUGCUAGUAACAGUGGCUUGACUGCGGCUGGUGCUGUUCCCCUAGUCCAUGGACCUCUCCGACACCUGAAGGACUGGGGACGAAGGAAAGGUAACAGUCUAGUCCCCCCGGACCCUCUGAGCCACCUUCACCACUCAUAUCACCCUCAAUCCCUCCACCAAGACAGUUCAGGGGGCCACCAGGCAGUCAGUGGUGAGGCAUGCCAAGACCUGUGAACAGCCAAGAACCACCGAAUAACAUAAACUACCCGCCAGAAGCCCUCAACCCCAGUAACCCAUCACCAUGACCCUGAAAAUACCAUCAGAACAGAAAGACACACUCCAGAUGGCUGUUCAUGUUUACAUCCCCACUAGGGAAUCCAUCCAUAGAUACCACAAGCGUCCAGCCUUUGCACUUCCUCCAGCACCAGUCCCAGCAUCAACUCAGUUCCCGGUUUCCAGUACCAGACCACGAAACGAGACACAGACCUUCACUUCACAGAUUGUUCUUCCUCCCCUCUACAGACCCGGUACCCAGCCAUGGUUACCAGCCCCUUCGUCAACCCUGGACACAGCAUUGGCCACCACAACUGCCACCUCCACCCAGCCACUGAAUAUACAUUUUUCUAUGGUGUUCAUCAUUUUUUUCAGCAUACCUUUUGAUGAGCAGUUGAUUAGAUUUUUCUGCUAUGAUUUCAUGACUUAUUGAUGUAAUUCCUUAUUAUUUAUUGAACUGUUUAUUUACUGAAUUAUUGAUUAUCUUUUAACUUGAUUGAAAUGUGUACAUGGUUUAACUUAAUAUACAGUAUAAUAUAAAUAAUAUUAACAUUGCUGUUUACAUAUAGUAAUAAAGUGGUAACACAUACACCUCUAUAAACAUCACUGGAACUACAAAUCUUUGCAUCCAGCCUUAGCAUGUACUUGACAGUACAACAAAACUGAUGAACAGGAAUUACAUUUAAUCUACUGGGUAGCCAAAAAAGAUCUACAGUGCCUUGCAAAAGUAUUCACCCCCUUGGUGAUUUUCCUAUUUUGUUGCAUUACAACCUGUUAUUUAAAUGUAUUUUUAUUUGGAUUUCAUGUAAUGGACAUACACAAAAUAGUCCAAAUUGGUGAAGUGAAAUGAAAAAAAAAUACUUUUUUUCAAAAAGAUUAUAUAAAAUAAAAAACGGAAAAGUAGUGCAUGCAUAUGUAUUCACCCCCUUUGCUAUGAAGCCCCUAAAUAAGAUCUGGUGCAACCAAUUACCUUCAGAAGUCACAUAAUUAGUUAAAUAAAGUCCACCUGUGUGCAAUCUAAGUGUCACAUGAUCUUAGUAUGCAUACACCUGUUCUGAAAGGCCCCAGAGUCUGCAACACCACUAAGCAAGGGGCACCACUAAGCAAGAGGCACUAUGAAGGCCAAGGAGCUCUCCAAACAGGUCAGGGACAAAGUUGUGGAGAAGUACAGAUCAGGGUUGGGUUAUAAAAACUAUCAGAAGCUUUGAACAUCCCACAGAGCACCAUUAAAUCCAUUAUUAAAUAAUGGAAAGAAUAUUGCACCACAACAAACCUGCCAAUAGAGGGCUGCCCACCAAAACUCACGAACCAGGCAAGGAGGGCAUUAAUCAGAGAGGCAACAAAGAGACCAAAGAUAACCCUGAAGAAGAUGCAAAGCUCCACAGUGGAGAUUGGAGUAUCUGUCCAUAGGACCACUUUAAGCCAUACACUCCACAGAGCUGGGCUUUACGGAAGAGUGGCCAGAAAAAAAUUAGCAAACAUGUUUGGUGUUCACCAACCCAACACCUCUCAUCACCCAGAGAACACCAUCCCCACAGUGAAGCAUGGUGGUGGCACCAUCAUGCUGUGGGGGAUGUUUUUAAUCGUUAGGGACUGAGAAACUGGUCAGAAUUGAAGGAAUGAUGGGUGGCGCUAAAUACAGGGAAAUUCUUGCGGGAAACCUGUUUCAGUCUUCCAGAGAUUUGAGACUGGGACGGAGGUUCACCUUCCAGCAGGACAAUGACCCUAAGCCUACUGCUAAAGCAACACUUGAGUGGUUUAAGGGGAAACAUUUAAAUGUCUUGGAAUGGCCUAGUCAAAGCCCAGACCUCAAUCCAAUUGAGAAUCUGUGGUAUGACUUAAAGAUUGCUGUACACCAGCAGAACCCAUCCAACUUGAAGGAGCUGGAGCAGUUUUGAGUUGAAGAAUGGGCUAAAAUCCCAGCGGCUAGAUGUGCCAUGCUUAUAGAGACAUACCCCAAGAGACUUGCAGCUGUAAUUGCUUCAAAAGGUGGCUCUACAAAGUAUUGACUUUGGGGUGGUGAAUAGUUAUGCACACUCAAGUUUUCAGUUUUUUUGUCUUAUUUCUUGUUUGUUUCACAAUAAAAAAAUGAAACACCAUUGAUCAAGUGCUUUGAAGUACACUGCUCAGCGAUUUCAACGCAUGCAUCUCAGCUCAGGAAUCAAACUUAACAGCACUAGGAUUUACACAUCCUUUGCACAUCCUUUGCAAGCCAACAUAACUUUUAGGCCUGAUGUGUUUGGUAAACUAUGAGCUUCAGGGCACUGUAUUAGGGUAAAACAAAUGUGUCACUGGGCUACACACAAUACCCCAUAAUGUCAAAGUGUAAUUAAGGUUUUUUGAAAUUUUUACAAAUUAAUAAAAAAUGUAAAGCUGAAAUGUCUAAGUCAAUAAGUAUUCAGGAGUAAACAUUUGCUUAACAAGUCACAUAAUAAGUUGUAUGUACUCAUUCUGUAUGCAAUAAUAGUGUUUCACAUGAUUUUUGGAUGACUACCUUAUCUCUGUACUCCACACGUAUGUGUGGAGUACAGAGAUAAGGAUGGAUCAACAAUGUUGAUAAGGAUGGAUCAACAAUGUUGUGGUCCCGUGUGGCUCAGUUGGUUGGGCAUGGCACUUGCAACGCCAGGGUUUAAUUUCCCCCGGGGACCAGUACGAAUGAAAAUGUAUGUACUCACUACCGUACGUCGCUCUGCAUAUGAGUCUGCUAAAUGACUAAAAUGUAAAAUUCCACAAUACUAACCUAAUUGACAGAGUGAAAAGAAAGAAGUCUGUACAGAAUAAAAACAUUCCAAAACAUGCAUCCUGUUUUUCUAGAAGGCACUAAAGUAAUACUGCAAAAAAAAUGGCAAAACAAUUAACUUUUUGUCCUGAAUACAAAGUGUUAUGUUUGGGGCAAAUCCAAUACAACACAUUACCGAGUACCACUCAAGCACAAGCAUAGUGGUGGCUGCAUCAUGUUAUGGUUUUUCAGG